CCAAUAGCGUAUAUUAAAGUUGUUGCAGUUAAAAAGCUCGUAGUUGAAUUUCGAGAUCAGUACGCUGGUCGUGCCUUUGGUAUGCACUGGUGUCACUGGUUUCUCCCUUCUGAAGAACUGUCAUGCCAUUCAGUUGGUGUGGCGGGGAAUCAGGACUGUUACUUUGAAAAAAUUAGAGUGUUUAAAGCAGGCUCGCGCUU
rnacentral:rRNA from 1 species